CCUACGGGAGGCUGCAGUGGGGAAUAUUGCACAAUGGGGGAAACCCUGAUGCAGCGACGCCGCGGGAGUGAAGAAGUAAUUCUUUAUGUAAAGCUCUAUCAGCAGGGAAGAAAAUGACGGUACCUGAGUAAGAAGCCCCGGCUAACUACGUGCCAGCAGCCGCGGUAAUACGUAGGGGGCAAGCGUUAUCCGGAUGUACUGGGUGUAAAGGGAGCGUAGACGGCAGUGCAAGUCUGGAGUGAAAGGCGGGGGCUCAACCCCCGGACUGCUCUGGAAACUGUACGGCUGGAGUGCAGGAGAGGUAAGUGGAAUUCCUGGUGUAGCGGUGAAAUGCGUAGAUAUUAGGAGGAACACCAGUGGCGAAGGCGGCUUACUGGACUGUAACUGACGUUGAGGCUCGAAAGCGUGGGGAUCAAACAGGAUUAGAUACCCCGGUAGUC
rnacentral:rRNA from 1 species